rnacentral:lncRNA from 1 species
AUCGCUGAUCCAUACCGUCCUCCGCGAUUUAACCAUCUCCAUCUCCACCGCAGAAAUUUCUCCCUCUACGCGCAAAGACCGUGCGAAGACUACGCCUCACCCUCUAUAUGCGCGACUCCACCGCUACCGCCGCCAGAGCCAAGUUCUUCUCCAUCCGCCUCCGGAGUCGUGCUCCUCGCUCCUCCUCCUCGCGUGUACUGCUGCUGUGCUGGAGCCGUGGUCUUCCCCAUACGACGUCAUCUCCAGUCGCCGUCGGAGCCGAGGUCGUCCCCUUCCGUCUCCGCCACUAUCGCACAGCACCGCUGCCCCCCCCCCCCCCACCCCCCUGGAGACGAGUUCUUCUCCAGCUACCGCUGGAGCCGUGCUCCACGCUCCUCCUCGCGUGUAUUGCUGCCGCCGCCGGAGCCCUGGUCUUCCCCAGUCCGUCGCCGGAGCCGAGGCCCCCCCCCCUCUUCCCCUGCCCUCGAAGCUGAGGUCUUCCCAUCCGGCGACGCCACUGCAGUCCACCGCUGCGCUCAACGGAGCCGAGGCUGCAGCGUUGUGGCGCAGCGCCGUAGUGACGAGCAGACGCGGCAACCGGGCGACGAGGAGCGAGCAGCAGGAGGUGAGGGCGAGGAGCUAGCAGAUCAGGCCAUCCCUCCAUGAAGGGCAUCAGACGACGAGGGGCAAGCAGCAGCAGCUAGCAGAGCAAGCGGUGAGUCCUAGCCCGCUAUUUCUAUCCUGUAUUUGCCACUGACGCCCUUGGAACACCACUGCCCUGAUUUCAUCCACUCUUGGCUCCAUUUGGAAUCUGGCCAUCGUCCUGCACCCUGCUUCCCAUUUUCAAAUCAACUUCAGCACCCACAUUCUCCUGGAAGGUUUUUGUCCUGCUCAGGAAGGGGGUGUCGCCAAAGUGAAUUCAAGACAGCUAGCAUUCAAUACUUUACACAAGAUCCAGGAGCCACCAGCAAUGCAAGUGGUUGUCUUACUGGUAUGUUGUGAUGAUCCCAGAGUCCAAGGUUGGAUGCUUCAUAUCAUAAAGGAGUUGUCCAUGUAUUUAGGUACCAUUUGUUAAUAUCAUGACGGCCAUGGUAAAGUUCAUAAUAUGUCAAUGUAUAUAGUUCAUUCCCUAUCGUUAUUUUACUUUUCCUUUGAGCUGAAAUAUUGCCCAUGGGGUUAGCUCAUUUGUGUGGCAUUGGUGGUAUAUUCUGAUUGAAAUUUAUAAUUGGUUGAUGUACUAAAGAGCCAAAAAGCUACCCUAGACCUUUAACUGUUAACCUUGUAUAGAUUUGGAAAUAUAUUGGCAAGGACUCAUGUGACUUCACUAUAUCAUGCUAUUUAUGUUGCUGAUUAAAAUUAAAUUGAGGUGUAUCACUGUGGCAAUUAAGCUAAGAGUAAUCAGAUUCCUAAUGUUUUGAGUUUACAACCUUUUUCCUUUCAUCGUGAAGGCUGCAAUUUAUUUCAGUAAGAUACAAUGUUUCUGCUUUGAGGAUCAAACCCUUCUUCCAAUGCAAAGAAGAAAAAGGGAAAUUCAGCCAAUGUGCAGGUAUAGCAGGAACAAAUGUGUAAAUAUUAGAUGCCUUGCCCAUACAAUCUCUUUGAGAUGUAGCUGUUGGUACUUUCUUAUGUUCCAUGGUGCCAGUGGUAUGUUCUGCAACUUGAGCAAACACGAUUUUCCUUUUUUUUUCUUCUCUUCUUUCACAGUUGCUAAUAGUCAUUUUCUGCACAAAGUUUUAAUUGCAGGCUACUCAAGAACCUAAGAAGUUCUGUCAUGAAGCUGUUGUUUUUCUGGAGUCCCUUUUGGUAACAUCUAUUAGAGGACACUUGGGACCUCACCUAUAAAAAACAAGUAAAUUUUGACCAUUGCUUCAUAUUAAGUGAAUAUCCUCUUUAUAUAUACCAAUGAUCAAUUUUGGAGCUCAGGAAAAUGGAACCAUGGCUUCAUUUCCUUAAAAAGUGCAUCGGUUGAAUCCACAGUGUAUAUUCUGCAAGUUAUAAGCAAGGAUUUUGAUGCUCCUUAUUUCUUCCCUGAAAAUUUCAAGUAAAGAUGUGUUUUUUGGAAUUUUGAAUAUUUGCAUUGUGCUGAUGACUUCUAAUUACUAACGAUGUAAUUCAUAAAUUUUAUCUAUCAGCAUAUGCUUGCUUAGCCGGUUUGUUAUUCUUUUUAUUUGGAUAUACGUAGUUUGCUUGAAAAAUUUGAUGGGGCUAAAAGAUUAUUUGGUUUCUCAGGAAGAUGCUUGAUGCUAAUGUCUUCUCGAGCUUUCAGAUUGUAAGCUUCACAAGAAAAAGAGUGUGGCUGUGGACUCCAGGAUUACAUUGAAUCUUGAAAAGGUAUGCACUAUUCCAAUUUCAGAUGAUGCAUUUCCCUGAUUUGAGAUGUUUCCUUUUUUCCAAUCUAACAAAGGAAACCUUUCCUUGAGGGAAUUCCAUGAAAUAUAUUGGUUUCCAGAUUUCAAGAUUGUUAGGUCAUUUCGUGGCUGCCACUUCAACUGUAGGUGUGUGCAUAGUUUAGCAAUAUGACCUCUUUAGAUUAAUAUUGUGGUGAAGGAAAAUAUAUAGGCGUUUUGACAACUGUUAGUGUUUCUGAAAUGUUCACACUUGCUAUCUACUUUUUACUUCAAUUAAGGCAACUAUGAACAAUAUUUUUUUUUGGAAUUAUGUGAUGACCAUUUCCUGCAAGUGAAAUGGAUGUAAAUUUGUGUUUUGUAGACCACAUGAACUUAUGUGGACACACGGUAGGACCUGUAGGACCUAUAUACAUCUCAUUGGUGAUCAUGUAAAUGCUAUUUUUAAUUGCUGG